rnacentral:tmRNA from 1 species
GGGGUUGACUGGAUUUGACAGCGGGCAGAAACGGUAAGUAAGCAUGCAGUGCGUCAGUGAUUUGCACUUUAAUCUCAGUUACUAAAAGUUUAUCUGGCGAAAAUAAUUACGCUCUUGCUGCUUGAUUGAAGCAUAGUAAAUCAACUUAAUCUUUGCACAAGGUGCAAAGACAAGACAUCACUCGAAUGCUGUUGUUCCGAAGCUUUUCGGUUUAGUGGUGCAGUAAUAUCGGAAAUAGUUUGGAGUAGCCUCGUACUUCAUUACGAAAUUUCAGAGGAUAAGGUAUGGGUUGAUAGCUUUGGUUCUGCUCAUACACGAAAAACGAAGCAAAGAUAAGCAUGUAGAAAGUUUAUGAUUUCCUCGUUUGGACGAGGGUUCGAUUCCCUCCAACUCCAC